AAAGGUCAAUGUUACCUUACAGUGUGUGCUAUUUGUGGGAUUAAAGGAAGUGAUGACAUUUAAGUGUUAAGAGUAAUGUGAUAACUUGUACACGAUAGUUUGCUUAAAGUUGCCAAAAUGUGACUCCAGCAGCAGAAGUUAAUCUGCCAGACCCCAAAUGUGUAUUUUCAGUAUGAAAAUAUCCCCGGCUGUAAUUUGAGUUUUAUGUCAAUCAUUAGCUCUUGAAGAUAUCAUUGAUUAAACGUGUGUGUGUGUGUGUUGGUAGCUCUUCCUUUUCUGUCUUUAGUGUUUUCCCCUCCCACUGUCCCUCUCCCUCUCCCUCUCCCUGUGAAUGCCACAGGCCUCUCACCCCACGGUCCAGAUUUAGACCUCAGUCUUUCCCAGACAUUCGCACCCAGCUGUCUCUUGCUGCCUGGUGUUGCAGUGAAUCCUUUGUCCGACGUUAACUGUGUGUCCCAGUUCUUCCUUCUCUUCCUCGGGCCUUCUCCACCAUGCAUGGACUAUUUCACCACGUCUCUGUCUGACAUGGUAGCAGAUGGUCACAGACGUUUCCGGUGGACAGAGAGUUGGAGUCCUCCAGUCUUAAGUUUUAAUCUCCAGGUUUUUGCCUGUAUUUGUUGCUGCUCCACAGAGGCAGACUUGCCUCCACCUUUUCUCCAGCCAUGGAUCUUCUUCCAGAGAUCCCAUUGUUUGAGAUGGACGAGGAUGAGGACGAGGAGGAUGUUCGCCCAGUGAUGUAUGGAGGUGCCUGUACGUAUGUGGCGCACCCUGUUGCGCCACCUGCAGGCCCCGACCCUGACGCGUACGUAUACAUGAACUUCAUGAAGAGUCACUGCUGCUACGACGCCAUCCCGACCAGCUCCAAACUGGUCAUCUUUGACAUAAAGCUACAGGUGAAGAAGGCCUUCUUUGCUCUGGUGGCUAAUGGUUUGAGGGCAGCACCGCUGUGGGACAGCAAGCUUCAGUGUUUUGUGGGUAUGCUGACCAUCACUGACUUCAUCAACAUUCUGCAUCGGUACUACAAAUCUCCUCUGGUUCAGAUCUAUGAGCUGGAGGAACACAAGAUAGAGACAUGGAGAGAGAUCUAUCUGCAGUACUCAGUUAACAGACUGAUCAGCAUCACUCCUGAGUCCAGUCUGUUUGACGCCAUCUACUCCCUGUUGAAGAAUAAGAUCCACCGGCUCCCAGUCAUCGACCCAGCAUCAGGAAAUGUCCUCCACAUCCUCACUCACAAACGCAUCCUCAAGUUCCUACACAUUUUUGGAUCUAUGAUUCCUAAACCCAGGUUUCUUCAAAAGCGGAUCAGUGAAGUGGCGAUUGGUACCUUCAAAGAGAUUGCGACGGUCCAGGAGUUAGCCUCAGUUUAUGACGCUCUGACAAUUUUUGUAGAGAGAAGAGUGUCGGCUCUGCCCGUGGUCAAUGAACAAGGUAAAGUGGUGGCUCUGUAUUCGAGGUUUGACGUCAUUAAUCUUGCCGCCCAGAAAAGAUACAACAACCUGAACAUGACAAUGAGGGACGCCAUUGCUUCCAGAGCCUGCUGUGUGGAAGGGGUCCUCAAGUGUUACCCUUAUGAAACACUGGAGACCAUCAUUGACCGCAUUGCAAAGGCAGAGGUGCAUCGUUUGGUGUUGGUUGACAAGGACAAUGUGGUGAGAGGGAUUGUUUCUUUAUCUGACCUCCUUCAAGCUCUGGUCCUCAGUCCUGCAGGUAUUGAUGCACUGUACUCCUAACUCCAACCCUUCCAUACGCCCCUUGCUCUCUCUCUCUGUCAGUCCCUUGGUUUUCUGUCCACCCAUCAAUCUGCCUUUGAAUCCUUGAACGCUUUGUGCUGCUUCUGGUGAGCAAUGCUCCUCCUCCUUCCUGCCAAACUCUUCUUCAUCCACCUUUUCAUCCUCCUGAAGACAAUGGGGAUCUUCACCUCUCCUCUUGUGAAGUUUCCUGGUGUCAAAGUCCCAACACAGCCAUUUUUCUCCUGGUUCUUUUGAGCUGUAUUCCUUAUCACUGAACCUCCUGGUCCUCCAAAGUCCAUCUACUCUAAAUCAACUUUGAAAACAUCUGAGAAACUAACCACCUCUUCUAAAUCCUGCUUUGUGUGCAUUGUAAAGCAAAAAACACAUAAUCAGAGACCUUGUUUGGAUUGAUGUCUACUUACAAACAUCCUUACACUUCUUUUCAAACUUUGCACUGAAGCAUCAAACAAAAUUAACCACAUUCCCAAGCCUGCUAAGACACUGCUAAGACCACCUCUAAAACCUGCCUUUUCGGGCAAGCUGAAGCCCUCCCUCUUCUGAAAUCUGUGCCAUCUAAUAGUCCAUCUUCUACUCCAACCUCACUUCAAAACCAGUCAGUUCCUGUACCUGUACCAAGUCCGUGUCAUCCUUGCCAAGUCCCACACAAAUCUUCCAAAGCUUCGUCUAACCUUCGUACCAGUCAGCCGUCCUAGUCUAUGCUAUACGAAGUCCAACACCAAACCCUCCAUACUUUCUCCCGAGCUUGCCUCUUCCAUCAGUUGGUCAGCGUCUUCAUAGUCCAGCUCCUCCUCCUCUGAAACCACCACACCAGCAGCUCCUCAUAUCCAGUACAACACAGAUACUUUGCAGUGUGAGAGCUGAUCCUAUCAAGACUGAAGAAAAAAAUGAGAUGGAGGCUUCCUGCGUUUAUAGAAUGACAUGAUUUGCAGCCG